CGGCGGACGGGUGAGUAACGCGUGGGUAACCUACCCUGUACACACGGAUAACAUACCGAAGGGUAUGCUAAUACGGGAUAAUAUAUUUGAGAGGCAUCUCUUAAAUAUCAAAGGUGAGCCAGUACAGGAUGGACCCGCGUCUGAUUAGCUAGUUGGUAAGGUAACGGCUUACCAAGGCGACGAUCAGUAGCCGACCUGAGAGGGUGAUCGGCCACAUUGGAACUGAGACACGGUCCAA
rnacentral:rRNA from 1 species